rnacentral:tRNA from 1 species
GCCCUCAAAGCUCAGUUGGUUAGAGUUUUGGCAGUGCACAAGUCCUGUCCCUGCUCUCGUGGGUUCGAGUCCCACUGAGGCCG